AUUUCAAUCAACGCCCCGAGGAAGAGGGGAUUAAAAC
rnacentral:other from 20 species